AGCCAUGUUCCAGCUGUGUUGACAGAGGGUCUUGGGUGUGUGCUGGUCUGACUCAGUCUGGGUCUCAGCCUGUGGUCUGGGUCGCUCUGAGAGGCCGCAGGAUGAGUCUCUGUGUUGACCUCUCCCACAGGAGGACUUCAGGAGGACUUCAGGAGGACUCAGGAGGACUUCAGGAUGACUCAGGAGGACUUCAGGAGGGCUGGUCCUGCGGGUCGGCAGCGGGACGCACGGUGACGUCUACAAGUUCAUGGUCCACCAAACGAGUCCCAGAUCGCCUACAUCCUCACUCCAGGAGCUGCAGCUUGAUGAUGAUGAGGAGGAGGAAGAUUCAGCUUCAGAGUCCGGAUCCACCCUCAUAGGAAACAGAGCGACGCCAUGUUUUCACCAUCUACUGUGUGACCGUCAUGACCGCUGACCUCUGACCUCUGACCUCUGACCUGCUCCAUGGGGUCACUCUGAGGUUCAUCUCAGCUCUCAGUUUAUUUAUUUUCAUUUAAAACUGAUUCAAAUGAAAGAGGUUUCUUUCAAGUGCUGGAUCCACAUCAGCAGCGACGGCUGGUGAUGUGGAUCCAGUACUGAAGUGCCAAAACCUGCAGUUCCUUCGGGACCAAACCAGGACCAAACCAGGACCAAGCCAGGACCAAACCAGGACCAAACCAGGACCAAACCAGGACCAAGCCAG